rnacentral:rRNA from 1 species
CUUCCGUUCCGGCUUACGUGGCGCACGGGUGAGUAACACGUGGGAACUGCCCAUCUAUGGGGAAUAACUGCGGGAAACUGCAGCUAAUACCGCAUACGCCCUUCGGGGGAAAGGCUUCGGCCGUAGAUGGAUGAGCCCGCGUCCGAUUAGCUAGUUGGUGGGGUAAUGGCCUACCAAGGCGACGAUUGGUAACUGGUCUGAGAGGAUGAUCAACCGCACUGGGACUGAGACUCCGCCCAGACUCCUACGGGAGGCAUCAUUGGGGAAUAUUGAACAAUGGGUCAAAGCCUGAUCCAGCAGUGCCGCGUGACUGAUGAACGUCUUCGGAUUGUAAAGCUCUUUCUACUGGGAAUAUAAUGACGGUACCCGUAGAAUAAGCCCCGGCUAACUUCCUGCCAACUACCGCGGUAAUACGAAGGGGGCUAGCGUUGUUCGGAUUUACUGGGCGUAAAGCGUGCGUAGGCGGCUUAUCAAGUCAGAAGUGAAAGCCCGGGGCUCAACUCCGGAAUGGCUUUUGAUACUGGUAGGCUGAAGUUCGGGAAAGGGUAAUGGAAUUCCCAAUGUACAGGUGAAAUUCGAAGAUCUUGGGAAGAACA